rnacentral:rRNA from 1 species
UACGAAGGGUGCAAGCGUUGCUCGGAAUUAUUGGGCGUAAAGGGUAGGUAGGUGGUUGCGUAUGUCUGGGGUGAAAUCCCUGAGCUUAACUCAGGACGUGCCUUGGAAACGGCGUAACUAGAGUACUAGAGAGGUUCGUGGAAUUCCUGGUGUAGCGGUGAAAUGCGUAGAGAUCAGGAGGAACAUCAGCGGCGAAGGCGGCGAACUGGAUAGUAACUGACACUCAACUACGAAAGCGUGGGGAGCAAACAGG